rnacentral:rRNA from 1 species
AGAGUUUGAUCCUGGCUCAGAAUCAACGCUGGCGGCGUGCCUAACACAUGCAAGUCGAACGAGAAAGCGGGGGCAACCCCGUGAGUACAGUGGCGUACGGGUGAGUAACACGUGACUAACCUACCUUGGAGUGGGGAAUAACCUCGGGAAACCGGGGCUAAUACCGCAUAAGACCACGAGCUGCAAUGCUUGAGGUCAAACGGGUAACUGGCUUUUGGAGGGGGUCGCGGCUGAUUAGCUAGUUGGCAGGGUAACGGCCUACCAAGGCGACGAUCAGUAGCCGGCCUGAGAGGGCGCACGGCCACACUGGAACUGAAACACGGUCCAGACUCCUACGGGAGGCAGCAGUGGGGAAUUUUGCGCAAUGGGGGAAACCCUGACGCAGCAACGCCGCGUGGAGGAUGAAGUCCCUUGGGACGUAAACUCCUUUCGACCGGGACGAUAAUGACGGUACCGGUGGAAGAAGCCCCGGCUAACUCCGUGCCAGCAGCCGCGGUAAUACGGGGGGGGCAAGCGUUGUUCGGAAUUAUUGGGCGUAAAGGGCGCGCAGGCGGUGCGGUAAGUCAUCUGUGAAACUCCGCAGCUCAACUGCGGACCUGCUUCCGAUACUGACGGGCUUGAGUACUCUAGAGGGCAGUGGAAUUCCCGGUGUAGCAGUGAAAUGCGUAGAGAUCGGGAGGAACACCAGUGGCGAAGGCGGCUGCCUGGGGAGAAACUGACGCUGAGGCGCGAAAGCUGGGGGAGCAAACGGGAUUAGAUACCCCGGUAGUCCCAGCCGUAAACGAUGAGUGCUAGGUGUAGGGGGUAUCGACCCCUCCUGUGCCGCAGUUAACGCAAUAAGCACUCCGCCUGGGGAGUACGGCCGCAAGGUUGAAACUCAAAGGAAUUGACGGGGGCCCGCACAAGCAGCGGAGCAUGUGGUUUAAUUCGAAGCAACGCGUAGAACCUUACCAGGGCUUGACAUGUAGCGAAUCCUCUAGAGAUAGGGGAGUGCUCCUUCGGGAGAGCGCUAACACAGGUGGUGCAUGGUUGUCGUCAGCUCGUGUCGUGAGAUGUUGGGUUAAGUCCCGCAACGAGCGCAACCCCUAUCGUAUGUUGCCAGCAGGUAAAGCUGGGCACUCAUGCGAGACUGCCGGUGACAAACCGGAGGAAGGUGGGGAUGACGUCAAAUCAUCAUGCCCCUUAUGUCCUGGGCGACACACGUGCUACAAUGGGCGCCACAAAGCGAACCGAAACCGCGAGGUGGAGGAAACCGCGAAAGGCGCUCGUAGUUCAGAUCGCAGGCUGCAACUCGCCUGCGUGAAGCCGGAGUUGCUAGUAAUCGCUGAUCAGCACGCAGCGGUGAAUACGUUCCCGGGCCUCGUACACACCGCCCGUCACACCAUGGGAGCUGGUAACACCCGAAGUCGGUGCGCUAACACGCAAGUGAGGCAGCCGCCGAAGGUGGGGCCGGUGACUGGGGUGAAGUCGUAACAAGGUAUCC